GACGAACGCUGGCGGCGUGCUUAACACAUGCAAGUCGAACGGAAAGGCCCUGCUUUUGUGGGGUGCUCGAGUGGCGAACGGGUGAGUAACACGUGAGUAACCUGCCCUUGACUUUGGGAUAACUUCAGGAAACUGGGGCUAAUACCGGAUAGGAGCUCCUGCUGCAUGGUGGGGGUUGGAAAGUUUCGGCGGUUGGGGAUGGACUCGCGGCUUAUCAGCUUGUUGGUGGGGUAGUGGCUUACCAAGGCUUUGACGGGUAGCCGGCCUGAGAGGGUGACCGGCCAAAUUGGGACUGAGAUAAGGCCCAGACUCCUACGGGAGGCAGCAGGGGGGAAAAUUGCAAAAUGGGCGGAAGCCUGAUGCAGCAACGCCGCGUGCGGGAUGAAGGCCUUCGGGUUGUAAACCGCUUUCGCCUGGGACGAAGAGUGAGUGACGGGAAUGGGUAAAGAAGCACCGGCUAAAUAAGUG
rnacentral:rRNA from 1 species